rnacentral:snoRNA from 1 species
CAAUUAAUGAUAAAUAUUUUAUAAGGUGCGGAAAUAAAGUGAGGAAUAUCUUUUAAAUUCAAGUUCAAUUCUGAAAGC